UACGAAGGGGGCUAGCGUUGCUCGGAAUUACUGGGCGUAAAGCGCACGUAGGCGGCUUUCUAAGUCGGGGGUGAAAUCCUGGAGCUCAACUCCAGAACUGCCUUCGAUACUGGAGAGCUCGAGUCCGGGAGAGGUGAGUGGAACUGCGAGUGUAGAGGUGAAAUUCGUAGAUAUUCGCAAGAACACCAGUGGCGAAGGCGGCUCACUGGCCCGGAACUGACGCUGAGACGCGAAAGCGUGGGGAGCAAACAGG
rnacentral:rRNA from 1 species